GAUGAACGCUGGCGGCGUGCCUAAUACAUGCAAGUCGAGCGAACGGACGAGAAGCUUGCUCCUCUGAUGUUAGCGGCGGACGGGUGAGUAACACGUGGAUAACCUACCUAUAAGACUGGGAUAACUUCGGGAAACAGGAGCUAAUACCGGAUGAUAUUUUGAACCGCAUGGUUCAAAAGUGAAAGACGGUCUUGCUGUCACUUAUAGAUGGAUCCGCGCUGCAUUAGCUAGUUGGUAAGGUAACGGCUUACCAAGGCAACGAUGCAUAGCCGACCUGAGAGGGUGAUCGGCCACACUGGAACUGAGACACGGUCCAGACUCCUACGGGGGGCAGCAGUAGGGAAUCUUCCGCAAUGGGCGAAAGCCUGACGGAGCAACGCCGCGUGAGUGAUGAAGGUCUUCGGAUCGUAAAGCUCUGUUAUUAGGGAAGAACAUAUGUGUAAGUAACUGUGCACAUCUUGACGGUACCUAAUCAGAAAGCCACGGCUAACUACGUG
rnacentral:rRNA from 1 species